rnacentral:rRNA from 1 species
CACCAUGGCUGGCCAAGACCCAGCCGUCGAAAGUUGAUAGGGCAGAAAUUUGAAUGAACCAUCGCCAGCGCAAGGCCGUGCGAUUCGAGAAGUUAUCAUGAAUCACCAGAAAGCCCCGAGGGGCAUUGGUUUUUAAUCUAAUAAAUACAUCCCUUCCGAAGUCGGGAUUUUUAGCAUGUAUUAGCUCUAGAAUUACCACGGUUAUCCAUGUAGUAAGGUGCUAUCAAAUAAACAAUAACUGAUUUAAUGAGCCAUUCGCAGUUUCGCCGUAUAAUGCUUAUACUAGACAUCU